UCGUAACAAGGUCUCCGUUGGUGAACCAGCGGAGGGAUCAUUACCGAGUUUACAACUCCCAAACCCCUGUGAACAUACCAAUUGUUGCCUCGGCGGAUCAGCCCGCUCCCGGUAAAACGGGACGGCCCGCCAGAGGACCCCUAAACUCUGUUUCUAUAUGUAACUUCUGAGUAAAACCAUAAAUAAAUCAAAACUUUCAACAACGGAUCUCUUGGUUCUGGCAUCGAUGAAGAACGCAGCAAAAUGCGAUAAGUAAUGUGAAUUGCAGAAUUCAGUGAAUCAUCGAAUCUUUGAACGCACAUUGCGCCCGCCAGUAUUCUGGCGGGCAUGCCUGUUCGAGCGUCAUUUCAACCCUCAAGCCCCUCGGGUUUGGUGUUGGGGAUCGGCGAGCCCUUGCGGCAAGCCGGCCCCGAAAUAUAGUGGCGGUCUCGCUGCAGCUUCCAUUGCGUAGUAGUAAAACCCUCGCAACUGGUACGCGGCGCGGCCAAGCCGUUAAACCCCCAACUUCUGAAUGUUGACCUCGGAUCAGGUAGGAAUACCCGCUGAACCUAAGCAUAUCA
rnacentral:misc_RNA from 1 species